GCUGGCACUGCAAAAGAAGACAUUCCAGACACGUUCUGUUAUUAAAAAAGCACGUGGAAAUUUGUAGUUUCAGGAUAAAACAGUUACCUUCGGAUAGAAGCAAAAAGGCAAGCGUUGUUUAUGAGUGCGAGAACUGAGAGCUACUGAACAAAAGAAGCUUGUGUAGCCUUGUUUUAAGGGCUUGAAAAUACGAUGGCUACCGAGUUCACUGUUCUACAACUGGUUUCUGACUACCAUAUCCGUAGCCUUACGGCCACAGACCACUCCUCCAUCCUCCCUUUUCCUCCACUCAUCCUUCUCUUUCUCCUUUUUUUCCAAAGAAAUAGAAAAAAAGGAAUAAGAAAUAAGAAAUAAAAAAAAAGAAGAAAAGAAACAAAGAAGAAAGAAAAAAAAAUAAUAAAAAAAAAACUAAUUAUAACACGCUCUGCAACCAAUAAGCAAGUGGGAAAACACUGUGGGACCGAUAACUAAAAUAAGGAUAUCCUGUACGGAAUUAAUUAAAAUUCAUCUUGGCAUAUCUUCCUAAUGACUUUCGUCGCCUCUACGACAAUUUUAUACAGGUUGUCUAAUAACUUGUCAUGGGUGGAUGAGCAAUGAGUCAUCAUAUUGACAGUUGUUUUACGUCGUAUCCUGGAAUUACCCAUCAAGCGCCAUGACGCAUGCAGGAAGUGUGCCACGCGUGACUUUUCACUUCGUGGACAUUGUGGCUGAAAGAAUUAGAUGACGUCAUCAAUUUACGCAUGCCAUCGUGAUCAAUCUGCUUGGACUACGGAAUGAGAUCCUUUUUUGUUAUGGCAUAUCCGAGUCCAGCAUGCAAUAACAAGGUGGCUCCUUGGGUGAUUGGCCUUUCAUGCAGUGAAAACCUUUGCCACAUCUGGGUGAACAGGCUUCCGGAGGACACAGGAAUUUAGCUAUACAAAACUGUUAUGAGCACAAGUCAACUGUAUUGAAACCAAUAACAAAGAACGUGCCUGCGA